GCAAUCACCUUUUAAAAAUUAUUGUUUACUUCAUUCCUAUGUAGAGGGAUAUGACCACAAGGUCAUUUCACCAUAUUAUCAUCACUGAGAUCACAACUAAUUUUCAUGGAAGGACCAUCAGGUGGAGAGAUAAAGGCUUCCUGAGGAUACAGCAAUUCAGCGGAGACCUGGAGAUAAGAAGGAGGGCUACUGGAAAAUCUGAACCCACAAAUGUGGUUUGCAUAUUUCUAUUGGACAGCCCCGAACUAGCAAGAGCAUGGACACAGAGAUGAGAAAAUGGCCUGGACUGAGAUGCGGUAGAGGAUAAAACGUCAGAAACAAGGACAGAGGAGAAGGCUGAGGAACAGCAAAGUGCGUCCAUUUAAAGUUGAUUUUGAAGACCUAAGGCAAGGUGAAGGGAGGAGACAAGACAUGAGGACGCCAGAUGCCAACCUGAGACAGACUGUGGGGAAUCAGAGGAGACUUGACGGCCCAAAGACAGAAAGACUAGGACAAUCAUCUGGACUCCACAUGUGCAUGGAAUCAGCAAAUGUUUGCAUCUAUCAUAUCUACAUAGUGGAGAUCCUUUAAAAUGGCAUGAUACAGCACAUCUCCUCCCAACUCUGCCUUCAGUGACAUGAUGUUAUCUCAAGAUCAGCCACAGUGGGCGUAUUUACACCAUGGAAAUCAGCCAAUACUACAAAUCAGACUUUGACAUUGUUUUGUUGAUUGUCUAGACUUACAAAUGAUUAAGAAAGUGUUACUAAUGCAAAUUAAACUUAAAGAUACAUUGUGAUAAUAACGCUUGCAUUGUAAAUACAAAAAAUUGGGAAAAUAUUCUUCCAGUAUUUGAAAACUCCCAGUAUUUGAAAGUUGCUCACAUCAUUGAUGAACAAGUGGAAUUCUGACGUAUAUCUUCAUUGCUUGACUUUCAUUUUACUCAUUAACAUCAACAAACAUAUCAACCAACAUUCACAUUGGAACUAUGCUC
rnacentral:lncRNA from 1 species